rnacentral:rRNA from 1 species
CACGUAGGCGGAUAGAUGUGUCAUAGGUGAAAUCCCCGGGCUCAACCUGGGAACUGCCUGUGAAACUGUGUAUCUAGAAUAGAGUAGAGGUAAGUGGAAUUUCCGGUGUAGCGGUGAAAUGCGUAGAUAUCGGAAAGAACACCAGUGGCGAAGGCGACUUACUGGACUCAUAUUGACGCUGAGGUGCGAAAGCGUGGGGAGCAAACGGGAUUAGAUACCCCGGUAGUCCACGCUGUAAACGAUGAGAACUAGACGCAUGGUGGCUAAGGCUAUUGUGUGUUGAAGCAAACGCGUUAAGUUCUCCGCCUGGGGGAGUACGGCCGCAAGGUUAAA